UCACCGACAUUUGGGAUCCCUUAACUGC
rnacentral:sRNA from 1 species